rnacentral:rRNA from 1 species
UAUAUCGAACCUCGUGAUGCUAAGAGUCCUUAAGUCCUCUGAUGUCCUUCGGGACUAGGGGUGAGGCUGAACGCUCGAUCCGAUCGGGUAGUAGGUAAGCGAUGGGGUGACGCAGGAAGGUAGUCCAGCCCAGGCGAUGGUUGUCCUGGGGUAAGCAUGUAGGGCGGAACGUAGGUAAAUCCGCGUUCUAUUCAGCCUGAGAUGUGAUGCCGAGCCGAUUGUGGUGAAGUGGAUGAUCCUAUGCUGCCGAGAAAAGCCUCUAGUGAGUGUUGUGGCGGCCCGUACCCUAAACCGACUCAGGUGGUCAGGUAGAGAAUACCAAGGCGAUCGGGUGAACUGUGGUUAAGGAACUCGGCAAAUUGCCCCCGUAACUUCGGGAGAAGGGGGACCUCUGCUGGUGAUGGGCUUUACGUUCUGAGUUGGUGGGGGUCGCAGUGGCCAGGGGGAAGCGACUGUUUACUAAAAACACAGGUCCGUGCGAAGUCGUAAGACGAUGUAUACGGACUGACGCCUGCCCGGUGCCGGAACGUUAAGGGGACCGCUUAGCCAGCUUCGGUUGGCGAAGGUGAGAACUUAAGCGCCGGUAAACGGCGGUGGUAACUAUAACCAUCCUAAGGUAGCGAAAUUCCUUGUCGGGUAAGUUCCGACCUGCACGAAUGGCGUAACGACUUCCCCGCUGUCUCAACCACAGACCCGGCGAAAUUGCACUACGAGUAAAGAUGCUCGUUUCGCGCAGCAGGACGGAAAGACCCCGGGACCUUCACUACAGCUUGACAUUGGCGUUUGGAACGUCUUGUGUAGGAUAGGUGGGAGACUGGGAAGCUGUCACGCUAGUGAUGGUGGAGUCAUUGGUGAAAUACCACUCUGGUCGUUUUGAACGUCUAACUCUGGUCCGUGAUCCGGAUCGGGGACAGUGUCUGGUGGGUAGUUUAACUGGGGCGGUUGCCUCCUAAAGAGUAACGGAGGCGCCCAAAGGUUCCCUCAGCCUGGUUGGCAAUCAGGUGUUGAGUGUAAGUGCACAGGGGAGCUUGACUGUGAGACUGACAGGUCGAGCAGGAGCGAAAGCUGGGACUAGUGAUCCGGCAUCGGCGUGUGGAAGCGGUGUCGCUCAACGGCUAAAAGGUACCCCGGGGAUAACAGGCUGAUCUUCCCCAAGAGUCCAUAUCGACGGGAUGGUUUGGCACCUCGAUGUCGGCUCGUCGCAUCCUGGGGCUGGAGUAGGUCCCAAGGGUUGGGCUGUUCGCCCAUUAGAGCGGUACGCGAGCUGGGUUUAGAACGUCGCGAGACAGUUCGGUCCCUAUCCGCUGCGCGCGCAGGAGACUUGAAGGGGGCUGUCCCUAGUACGAGAGGACCGGGACGGACGAACCUCUGGUGUGCCAGUUGUACCGCCAGGUGCACGGCUGGUUGGCUACGUUCGGAAGGGAUAACCGCUGAAAGCAUCUAAGCGGGAAGCUCGCCUUGAGAUGAGGUCUCCCACCCUGUGAGGGGGUAAGGCUCCCGGUAGAUCACCGGGUUGAUAGGCCGGAGGUGGAAGCACGGUAACGUGUGGAGCUGACCGGUACUAAUAGGCCGAGGACUUGACCU